CACUGCCCCAUGCCAAACACACUGUCGCAUGCCAAACACACUGCCGCAUGCCAAACACACUGCCCCAUGCCAACACACUGCACCAUGCCAAACACACUGCCCCCAUGCCAAACACACUGCCCUAUGCCAACACCACUGCCGCAUGCCAAACAAACUGCCGCAUGCCAAACACACUGCCCAUGCCAAACACACUGCCCCAUGCCAAACACAUUGCCCCAUGCAAAACACACAGCACCAUGCUAAACCCACUGCCCCAUGCCAAACACACUGUCCCAUGCCGAACACACUGUCCUAUGCCAAACACACUGCCCCAUGCCAAACACACUGUCCCAUUCCAAACACACUGCCCCAUUCCAAACACAAAGCACCAUUUCAAACACACUGCCCCAUGGCAAACACACUUCCCAAUUCCAAACACACUGUCCCAUUCCAAACACACUGCCCCAUUCCAAACACAAAGCACCAUUUCAAACACACUGCCCCAUGGCAAACACACUUCCCCAUUCCAAACACACUGCUCCAUUUCAAAUACACUGCACCAUUCCAAACACACUGCCCCAUGGCAAACACACUUCCCCAUUCCAAACACACUUCCCCAUUCCAAACACACUUCCCCAUUCCGAACACACUGCUCCAUUCAAAACACUGCACCAUUCCGAACACACUGCCCCGUGCCAGACACACUGCCAUAUG
rnacentral:lncRNA from 1 species